rnacentral:rRNA from 1 species
CAAUAGCGUAUAUUAAAGUUGUUGCGGUUAAAAAGCUCGUAGUUGGAGUUCUGCCAGGUGACGCUCGUCCGCCCAAGUGGUGUGUACAGGGCGUGCAUCUGGCCCUUUCAAGGGGAACGUGUCUGCACUUUACUGUGUGGUGCGAGAUCCUUGACUUUUACUUUGAGGAAAUCAGAGUGUUCCAAGCAGGCUCUCGUCGUGUAUAGCUCAGCAUGGAAUAAUAGCAUUGGACUUCGUUUCUAAGCUGUUGGUUGCAAGAAGCGAGGUAAUGAUGAAGAGGGAUAGUUGGGGGCAUUCGUAUUUAACUGUCAGAGGUGAAGUUCUUGGAUUUGUUAAAGACGGACUACUGCGAAAGCAUCUGCCAUGGAUGUUUNCAUUGA